AAUGGAGAGUUUGAUCCUGGCUCAGGAUGAACGCUGGCGGCGUGCCUAAUACAUGCAAGUCGAACGCGAGCACUUGUGCUCGAGUGGCGAACGGGUGAGUAAUACAUAAGUAACCUGCCCUAGACAGGGGGAUAACUAUUGGAAACGAUAGCUAAGACCGCAUAGGUACGGACACUGCAUGGUGACCGUAUUAAAAGUGCCUCAAAGCACUGGUAGAGGAUGGACUUAUGGCGCAUUAGCUGGUUGGCGGGGUAACGGCCCACCAAGGCGACGAUGCGUAGCCGACCUGAGAGGGUGACCGGCCACACUGGGACUGAGACACGGCCCAGACUCCUACGGGAGGCAGCAGUAGGGAAUUUUCGGCAAUGGGGGAAACCCUGACCGAGCAACGCCGCGUGAAGGAAGAAGGUUUUCGGAUUGUAAACUUCUGUUAUAAAGGAAGAACGGCGGCUACAGGAAAUGGUAGCCGAGUGACGGUACUUUAUUAGAAAGCCACGGCUAACUACGUGCCAGCAGCCGCGGUAAUACGUAGGUGGCAAGCGUUAUCCGGAAUUAUUGGGCGUAAAGAGGGAGCAGGCGGCAGCAAGGGUCUGUGGUGAAAGCCUGAAGCUUAACUUCAGUAAGCCAUAGAAACCAGGCAGCUAGAGUGCAGGAGAGGAUCGUGGAAUUCCAUGUGUAGCGGUGAAAUGCGUAGAUAUAUGGAGGAACACCAGUGGCGAAGGCGACGAUCUGGCCUGCAACUGACGCUCAGUCCCGAAAGCGUGGGGAGCAAAUAGGAUUAGAUACCCUAGUAGUCCACGCCGUAAACGAUGAGUACUAAGUGUUGGAUGUCAAAGUUCAGUGCUGCAGUUAACGCAAUAAGUACUCCGCCUGAGUAGUACGUUCGCAAGAAUGAAACUCAAAGGAAUUGACGGGGGCCCGCACAAGCGGUGGAGCAUGUGGUUUAAUUCGAAGCAACGCGAAGAACCUUACCAGGUCUUGACAUACUCAUAAAGGCUCCAGAGAUGGAGAGAUAGCUAUAUGAGAUACAGGUGGUGCAUGGUUGUCGUCAGCUCGUGUCGUGAGAUGUUGGGUUAAGUCCCGCAACGAGCGCAACCCUUAUCGUUAGUUACCAUCAUUAAGUUGGGGACUCUAGCGAGACUGCCAGUGACAAGCUGGAGGAAGGCGGGGAUGACGUCAAAUCAUCAUGCCCCUUAUGACCUGGGCUACACACGUGCUACAAUGGAUGGUGCAGAGGGAAGCGAAGCCGCGAGGUGAAGCAAAACCCAUAAAACCAUUCUCAGUUCGGAUUGUAGUCUGCAACUCGACUACAUGAAGUUGGAAUCGCUAGUAAUCGCGAAUCAGCAUGUCGCGGUGAAUACGUUCUCGGGCCUUGUACACACCGCCCGUCACACCACGAGAGUUGAUAACACCCGAAGCCGGUGGCCUAACCGCAAGGAAGGAGCUGUCUAAGGUGGGAUUGAUGAUUGGGGUGAAGUCGUAACAAGGUAUCCCUACGGGAACGUGGGGAUGGAUCACCUCCUUUCU
rnacentral:rRNA from 3 species